rnacentral:lncRNA from 1 species
AUUGUCAAAUGAGGGUGAACCACAAAGUGGAAGUAUUUUCUUAGCUCGUGAGAUUUGCCACGAGGACGGGACUAUAGGGAGAUUGGACUCAAAUUGAGAAAGGCCCUAACAUGGCAUUGGUCUUCAGCUUGUCCACUCAUGUUUCUCCUCAUCACUGGGAUGGAGACAUCCAAAAGUCUAAACCAGCGCUCAGAGUUGAAGCAGGUCAUCCAGGUGGAAUCUGGGAAGGAUGCAGUCCUAGACUGCUCUGUGAAGUUCAGUGAGGAAUCCCCUGGUAAUGUAAACAUAAAGCAGGUUGUGGAGGCUGGACCAGAAUGGUCAUUACAAAGGUGAACCUGUGUUCACAUAUAUAUAUACAAUCCUCCAAUCCCAGGAUGCUGCUGAGCCCAAAAUAUCAGCUUUCCAUGCCACCUGCCAAUGAGAGACAAAGUUGUGUCCCUGUUGGUUAAAGAAACCCAGCCUGAAGAAGAGGGUCCGUAUGAGUGUGUGGUGAACACUGACAGUGGAAACACAAAUUGUAACUUCAUGCUGAAGGUCACAGGUGAGCUCAAAGCUUUUGGAGGCCAAUGUUUAUAGGUAGGGCCCUGAGUAUUUCCCAGUCAGGAAAAACUAAGGGCUUAACACAUAGUUUGGAAUUCAAAGUGCCUUCCUCACACUCUAACACUGACUGUUUAGUAUUCUCCUUUUUGCAUCAUGAUUUCCACUGUGCAGAUGAUCCAUCAAGAAAUCUUGCUUUUCUGACAUUAUCAUCUAUUAGUAUCCAAUAUAAAUUGACUCACCCUACAAACAUGACUUAAUUCAUUGCAUCCCUGAUCGCAUACCUGAAUGUGACAUGAUUUUCAUUUUUAAUGAUUCUGAUUUUGUGUGUUACAGUAUGAGACCAGCACCAGGUUCCUGAGAAUGCUGCAAAUCAAAAGGAAAUUCCAAAGAACAGUUACAAGAAUGUGACUGCUGUAUUUGUGGUAGUAGGCUCUCUUGCCAUUGGACUGCUGCUUCUCAAGCUGUUUCAAGCCAGAAGACUCAGACAACAUGAGCACCCAGGGUCAUGUCCAUUAGGACACACUGUUGCAAAAUGCUUCAAGAAGUUAUUCAGAUAGUUCCUCCCCAUUUCAGACUGCUUCUUUCCAUUUCGUGCCUAGUGAACACGACCUUGCAUUUGACAAUCUCUGCCGAGAGGAAUGCAGAGGUCUGGGAAGAUUAGGAGAGUACUUUCUGUUCUGGCUAAAUGCCAGGAUGUUGCUAUAUAAGUGGAAUGGAGAACUAACUCCUCGACAAGAUCACUUAGUUUAGUUUUUAUUGUUUUAGUUUCUCUAUUGCUCUCCUUCUCCUCCCCAGAUGGGAAUUCAGGAUUUGUUAUUCAAUUGUCUCUGUAACAAAUCACAAAACAUGGUAGAGCACACAGUAUCAACCCCUGUAAAAGGUUGCUUCUGGUUUCUCUUUCCAGAUGAACCAGUGGCACAGGAAGACUCUUUUGUGGCAGAAUGUUUGAGUAUAUUAUUUUUGUCUACCUAAUCGAAGAGGGAUUCCUGUCAAAACGAUCAAAUUCAUAGUAAAAUGCAGUGUAUAAAAUGUGUGUGGUAAAAUGGUGUAUAACAGUGUUGGUAUUCCUAUUGUCCCCUAUGGAACCAGAGCCUGAGGAUACAGCAGUCCCAGCAGAGCACGACUCCAGCACCAGGACAGGACUGUUUCCGUAGCGACAGAUGUAUUAUCCGGAGUGUUAUGGGCUCUCUUCCCUGUCGGUGUCAUGUCUGCUCUGUCUCUCACGCCACACAGCUAACUGAAUGUUAAUGCUUUGCCUGGAAGAGAGAACAAUCUGGUUCAACACUAUUGUGUUCCCCCUCUGCAGGAGAAAUGGAGUGCAUGCAUUAUCCUGCUACCAAGCUAAGUGUUAACAGCAUUGUCUGUAGUUGUUAACCACACCAGACUAUUCUUUCAUAUAUUGUGACUAAAACCUGAUGUUAGAGUUCAGUGUGUCAUCGGGAUCUCUGUUGAAAAGUUUGUUUCUGUUGGAGAGUCUGUCCUCUCUGUCUCUGUCCUCUCUGUCUCUCUCUCUGUUGUGGUUAGAAUGGAUAGUUCAGAGUAACAUUCAUUCAUGACGUUAUAGAUUAGCUGUUUUGGCGGUUGUCGGUCUUCGCGUUCAAUGAUACCGAAUUCCUAGCUGCAGACUAGUAAUUAAUAUCAAAGACUUGUUCUUAUUCUGUCGGUAUCGAUAGUCUAAGAGUUUAACCACAUGGUAUGGUUAAAAGUUCAGCAAGAGAAAUGCAUGGUCUGCAACCUUUAGCCAUCUCGUAAUUGAGGUAAGCUUGGCCUCCUCUCAAACCUUGCCCCUCAUUAUCAAGGUAAGCUGGUCUCGUCUCAAACCUUAGCCCUCUCGUUAUCGAGGUAAGCUGGUCUGGUGAUAGAAAACCUAGGUGGGGAUUUUAUUUAGAAGAGCAGAAAAGGGCCAGUCCCAUGACACCAGACCAUAACUGUGCUCAUGGGUGGUCCUCUGAUUAGUUAAACUCCAAAAGGGAAUUGGAGUUUCCUUCAUUAAACAGUCCAAAAUCACAUUACACAAUUUCACAAACAGUUCCAUCCUCACUCAUUCAUUUUAUACAACAAUUAGAUGUAAGCCUCAUAACUGAGGCUAUUAUAUAAACAGCGUUAUGGUAAUGUGGCCGUAUUGUCUCUCAUGAGUUUCACAAAAUUGUACCAAACGGACCAGUUCGUAGCUGGAUUCUUCACCAAUCUUUUAUACAUUCUCCAGAACAUAAAUAUUGUUCGGACCUCCAGUUCUGUGAGGUGGAAGAAAUUCCUUUGUUCUCUCUAUAAAAACUCACUCUCUAUACUGUGGCCAUGAGGAGAUAGUCUCCUCCAGGAAUUUACGACCUCUCUGAACACAGCAGCCUGGGUGUAGGAGACAGAGGGAGAUGGUGCUCGCUGUGUCCAAAGAGGGCAAUGUCAUGACACCUGAAAGGCCGCUCAGCAAGGAAGAAGCCACUGCUCCAAAACUGCUAUUAAAACUACGAUUUGCAACUGCACAUGUGGACAAAUAUCGUACUUUUUGGAGAAAUGUCCUCUAGUCUGAUGAAACAGAAAUAGAACUCUUUGGCAUUAAUGACCAUCGUUAUGUUAGGAGGAAAAAGGGAGGCUUGCAAGCGGUGCCCUGAGGCUAUUAUAUAAACAGCGUUAUGGUAAUGUGGCCGUAUUGUCUCUCAUGAGUUUCACAAAAUUGCCGCACAUUUACUGUACCGGUUCCCCCUGUAUAUAGCCUCGCUAUUGUUAUUUUACUGCUGCUGUUUGUUACUUUUAUCUAUGUUAACACGUUUUUCUUCUUAACUUCUUAAAGCAAUGUUGGUUAAGGGCUUGUAAGUAAGCAUUUCAUUGUAAGGUCUACACCUGUUGUAUUCAGCGCAUGUGACAAAUACAAUUUUGAUUUGACAACAGGGGUGGCCUAUGUUAAAAAUGUUUUAAAAAGUACAAAGCCUUUGUAAGGUGUUAAGCCUGUGAUAAAAUAUGCUUAAAAUCAUUAAAAGACAAAGUGAUUGUGUUGAAUUGUGUUUGGAAAAUAAAGAUAGACAUUGUUUUAUAAAGGUAGUGAUAAUAUUUCAUUCAGUACAGAAAUGUGUAGAAAGCUUAACUUCCACUGUCUGGAGGAUCAGCUUACCACAUACCCAGGUUAAGUUUACUGCCAUCCUCAUUUACUGCCUUUUAAAAAAAACAUAGCUGAUAUAGAAUACUUGAAUCAUUCACCUCUCAUGUCUGGGACUAGAGAAUAUGUUAUGUAGUGAACCAUUCACCUCUCAUGUCUGGGACUAGAGGAUAUGUUAUGUAGUGAACCAUUC